rnacentral:rRNA from 1 species
UACGGGGGGGGCAAGCGUUGUUCGGAAUUACUGGGCGUAAAGGGCUCGUAGGUGGCCAACUAAGUCAGACGUGAAAUCCCUCGGCUUAACCGGGGAACUGCGUCUGAUACUGGAUGGCUAGAGUUUGGGAGAGGGAUGCGGAAUUCCAGGUGUAGCGGUGAAAUGCGUAGAUAUCUGGAGGAACACCGGUGGCGAAGGCGGCAUCCUGGACCAACACUGACGCUGAGGAGCGAAAGCCAGGGGAGCAAACAGG